rnacentral:rRNA from 1 species
UAAGAAGGCAUCUUUUUAUUUUUAAAAGACCUAGCAAUAGGUAUGCUUAGGGAAGAGCUUGCGUCACAUUAGUUAGUUGGUGGGGUAAUGGCCUACCAAGACGAUGAUGUGUAGCCGGGCUGAGAGGUCGAACGGCCACAUUGGGACUGAGACACGGCCCAAACUCCUACGGGAGGCAGCAGUAAGGAAUUUUCGGCAAUGGAGGAAACUCUGACCGAGCAAUGCCGCGUGAACGAUGAAGUAUUUCGGUACGUAAAGUUCUUUUAUUAGGGAAGAAAAGAUGGUGGAAAAACCAUUAUGACGGUACCUAAUGAAUAAGCCCCGGCUAACUAUGUGCCAGCAGCCGCGGUAAUACAUAGGGGGCAAGCGUUAUCCGGAAUUAUUGGGCGUAAAGGGUGCGUAGGCGGUUAAAUAAGUUUAUGGUCUAAGUGCAACGCUCAACGUUGUGAUGCUAUAAAAACUGUUUAGCUAGAGUUGGAUAGAGGCAAGUGGAAUUCCGUGUGUAGUGGUAAAAUGCGUAAAUAUACGGAGGAACACCAGAAGCGAAGGCGGCUUGCUGGGUCUUAACUGACGCUGAGGCACGAAAGCGUGGGGAGCAAACAGGAUUAGAUACCCUGGUAGUCCACGCCCUAAACGAUGAGUACUAAACGUUGGAUAAAACCAGUGUUGAAGUUAACACAUUAAGUACUCCGCCUGAGUAGUACGUACGCAAGUAUGAAACUUAAAGGAAUUGACGGGACUCCGCACAAGCGGUGGAUCAUGUUGUUUAAUUCGAAGGUACCCGAAAAACCUCACCAGGUCUUGACAUGCUUUUGCAAAGCUGUAGAAAUACAGUGGAGGUUAUCAGAAGCACAGGUGGUGCAUGGUUGUCGUCAGCUCGUGUCGUGAGAUGUUGGGUUAAGUCCCGCAACGAGCGCAACCCUUGUUGUUAAUUGCCAUCAUUAAGUUGGGGACUUUAGCAAGACUGCCAAUGAUAAAUUGGAGGAAGGUGGGGACGACGUCAAAUCAUCAUGCCCCUUAUGACCUGGGCUACAAACGUGAUACAAUGGCUGUUACAAAGGGUAGCUAAAGCGUAAGCUUCUGGCGAAUCUCAAAAAAGCAGUCUCAGUUCGGAUUGAAGUCUGCAACUCGACUUCAUGAAGUUGGAAUCGCUAGUAAUCGCGAAUCAG